rnacentral:tRNA from 1 species
GGAGGAAUAGCUUAGUGGUAGAGCACAUGCUUAGCAUGCACGAGGUCCUGGUUUCAAUCCUCAGCAUCUCCA